rnacentral:misc_RNA from 1 species
AAAAAAAAACAUCUAAGAUGACCUUAACAUCAUGAGUUUCAAAAAACAUUUUUUUAUAAAUUGAAAUGAAGAAAGUAAUAAAAACUAAAGUUUUAAGUGAACAUUCCAACUUUGAUAGUACACAUCUAGACACUUUAACUUAGUCUCAACUGACAAUUAAACACUUCAACUCGUCUCUAUUGUGUCUCAUGAAAUAUCUAACGCGGACGUGACACAUAAAUUUUGAAAGUGUCUAGAUGAUCAUUUUGUAAGUUAGAGUGUUUAAUUGACACAUUGAAGACGAGUUUGAGCUGUCUAAAUAUGUAUUCUCGAAAUUAAAGUGCUUACUUAUUAGUUGAGGUCAAGUUUAACUGUCUUGUUUUGUAUUAUGUCAAUCUAAAAUAUUGUGGUGUUUCCGAAUAAAUUUGCAAGACACAACACAAGGUUGAAAUGA